rnacentral:tRNA from 11 species
GCACCCUGCUGGUGUCUGGCCUCCAGCUCUGUCCAGUGCCAUGGCUGAACACACACACUGCAGCAUUUGAAUGAUUUCAACACCCUCAUCAUCUUUGACUGUGGUUGCUGGCUGCUGCAACCAUUGCACCCUGGACUGGACACAUACCCCAUCAAAUUUAUAUAAGAAAGACUGUUCCUUAUCUUGGCAGUUGGUCAACACAGGCUUGUUCAGUGACAAUGUUGUUGAGCCAUGGCACCCCUUCCUCAAAAGACUUCAAGACCCAAAGCGGCUCAUAAAAGGUCUGAAGAAUACAAGUCUUCAGCAGGUCUGAAGAAUACAAUGUUUGAUGGUACUGAAAUUAUUGAGAGGUCCAGUGGAAUCAAAAAGAACAUGUUAUCCGUAUUCAGUUCCCAACAUGAAUCAUCCACCAAGGUGACUAAAGCAGUUUCUGUCCUAUAACUGGGCAUGAUGCCACGCUGGAAUGGGAUAACCACUGUUCCACAGUAGCUGCCAUACUUCCCAUCCUAUGGAAUCCUAGGAUUUGCAGUUUAGAGAGCGGCAUAUAGAAGUACUUCAGUAACCUACAAACAUAGUGCUUUAACAAACUACAAUCCCAAGAAUUUUAUAGGAUGGAAUCAAGGUAGUUAAAGUGGAAUAGUAGUAUAUAAUUAUAUUGUAGAAAUGGACACUUGGAUCUAGAAAGAUUCAGUCCAUAAGAUUCUAAAAGAUACUUUCCCUCAUCAUCUUUACAGCACUCACCUCUCUUUCCCACUUUAUUCGGUUCUUAAGAUUUAACUGCUUCUCCACAAUAUUCUGAUAUCCUUAAUAAGAAUUUUAGCUAGAGAGCAAACCUCUUCCCCUGCCCCUCAUAAUUAAAAUUUCUUCAAGUGUAUACUGUCCAUUGUUCAAGACAAAUAACCCCCACAAAGCAGUGCAAAGUAUCAAAGAAACUUCUGAACUAAUGUGGGAGUGGUUUUCGGGUGAAAAGCAAGCCUUUCCUCUAUACUGUAUCUGGAUUCCAGACUAACUCAGUCAAGAAAAGCAACAGGUGGAGAGUGAAAGACAGGAAAGAACAGAACGAGACAGUAUGAAUCACACAUUGCAGUUGAAUCACUGCUGAGAACAAGACUGUGAGACCAACUGCCUAGACAUUAUCCUGGAAUUCUAUUGAAACAGAAUUUGACCUGUACCUAAAACCAAUGCAAGGCUGAAUAUAUCUUAGACUAUACUAAUAAAAAUGUGAAGGGUGCAUCAUAAAUACAAUUCAAGACUAAAUAAUGUCGUUUUUCUCCUCCUCCACCUCCUCCUCCUCCUCCUCCUUUUUUUUUUUUUUUUGAAUUCCCAAUAUUUAACAACUCAAUUGCUUAAGAAUGUAAAGAAGGGCUUGUUGGAUUGGAACAAGACCUGCCUGGAACAGCAUUCUGGCAUUACAGGAUCCAAUACAUACAGGAAGUCAACAAGCAAAGCAUGGCUACAACAUGUUGCUCAGCAAGCAAAGUAGAGCCACUGAUACUAAUAUAUAAUGCUAAUGUCUGGCUAUAUAAUAACUGAGGACUAUGGAUAGCCUUAUCCUCUAUGAACUUAUAAUAUGAGGAAACUAAAGCACAAUUAUGGCAGGAUAUUAGUGCCUAUUGAGGAGGCCCCCAAUGGCGCAGUGGGUUAAACUGCUGAGCUGCUGAACUUGCUGACUGAAAAGUCAGUGGUUCAAAUCCAGGGAGAGAGGUGAGCUCCCGCUUUUAGUUCGAGCUUCUGCCAACCUAGCAGUUCAAAAACAUGCAAAUGUGAGUAGAUCAAUAGGUACCGCUCCGGUGGGAAGGUAAUGGCGCCCAUGCAGUCAUGUUGGCCACAUCAACUUGGAGACAUCUACGGACAACAGCAGCUCUUUGGCUUAGAAAUGGAGAUGAGCACCAACCCGCAGAGUCGGACAUGACUAGACUUAAUGUCAG